UACGUAGGGGGCAAGCGUUGUCCGGAUUUAUUGGGCGUAAAGAGCGUGUAGGCGGUUUGGUAGGUCCGUUGUGAAAACUCGAGGCUCAACCUCGAGACGCCGAUGGAAACCAUCAGACUAGAGUCCGGAAGAGGAGAGUGGAAUUCCUGGUGUAGCGGUGAAAUGCGCAGAUAUCAGGAAGAACACCCGUGGCUAAGGCGGCUCUCUAGUACGGUACUGACGCUGAGACGCGAAAACGUGGGGAGCGAACAGG
rnacentral:rRNA from 1 species